rnacentral:miRNA from 1 species
AAGACCCGAAUGAACUUUUUGG